rnacentral:rRNA from 1 species
GAUGAACGCUGGCGGCGUGCCUAAUACAUGCAAGUCGAGCGAACAGACGAGGAGCUUGCUCCUCUGACGUUAGCGGCGGACGGGUGAGUAACACGUGGAUAACCUACCUAUAAGACUGGGAUAACUUCGGGAAACCGGAGCUAAUACCGGAUAAUAUAUUGAACCGCAUGGUUCAAUAGUGAAAGACGGUUUUGCUGUCACUUAGAGAUGGAUCCGCGCCGCAUUAGCUAGUUGGUAAGGUAACGGCUUACCAAGGCAACGAUGCGUAGCCGACCUGAGAGGGUGAACGGCCACACUGGAACUGAGACACGGUCCAGACUCCUACGGGAGGCAGCAGUAGGGAAUCUUCCGCAAUGGGCGAAAGCCUGACGGAGCAACGCCGCGUGAGUGAUGAAGGUCUUCGGAUCGUAAAACUCUGUUAUUAGGGAAGAACAAAUGUGUAAGUAACUAUGCACGUCUUGACGGUACCUAAUCAGAAAGCCACGGCUAACUACGUG